AACUCCGGCGGCCUCGUCUCCCUCCAUCGCCGCUGCUCCGCUCGAUCUGGGGCCUCCCCUUGUGUCUUCCAGCCACCAAUUAAUCCCUCCGCUCUCGAGCCCCGUGUCACCCCCUCCGCCUCCUCCCCUUCGUGUUUCUCCUCCUCCCGCUAAGGCUCCAUGGCGGCGGACUGGCUCAAGGCGGGGGAGCGGCGGAUACAUCGGCGGCGGCGCGAGAGGAGCGGUGGUGGCGGCGUCGAGCUGCGAUGAGGUGCCGCUCGGGCACGAGACAACAGAGACGGUGGCGGCUGUUUCGGGGCCCGAUCUGGGGAGGGUACGAGGCAGGGAAGGACGCCGUCGUAGACUUCGUUGGUCUUCCUUCCACCCCUUUUGCUCCGUCUGAUUUGCCCUCUUCCUAUCCCUCUUGCUCGCCAGCGGAGACUCCUCCCCUGCUUCCGCACGCCGCCCUCGAGUUGGAGGAAAUGAGGACAGCAUGCGGUCGAGCUCAGGCCGGUGACAUAGGAUAAGGCCAUGGAAGCCCGAAUGGGUUCUGCUGGUGGUCACACUGGUAGGAACGGCAUUGCCUGUUAGUUGUUAUGAGAAGUAUGUUGGGAGAUUGCCACCUUCCUGAAAAUCACUGGAUAAAGAAGCCAUGUGAUGGAAAACCAGAGUGCCAAAAGAAGGUGGAUUUGGCAGUUGUUGCUCCAUGAGACAAGUUUAUUUGCCUGCUCAAAAUUCGGACCUAGAAAGGAUGAAACCAGAUGGAACGCAAAAGCUACAUGGCAGAGCACAUUUUGGGCACUGGUUCGUUUGGUGCCAUCUUUCAGGCUAAAUGCUUGGAAACUGGGGAGACGGUGGCCACUAAGAAGGUACUGUCGGGAGCUGCAGCUUAUGCGUUCGAUUAACCAUUCCAAUGUUGUCUCCCUCAAGCACUGCUUCUUCUCAACCACAAGUGAAGUGAGCUGUUUCUGAACAUUGUCAUGGAGUAUGUCCCGGAGACACUCUACCGCGGGCUUAAGAACUACAGUAAUGCCAAACAGGGGAUGUCACUUAUCUACAUCAAGCUCUACACCUAUCAGGGGGCUCGUGUACAUUCAUUACUGUUCCUGGAGUCUGUCACGGGGAUGUGAAGCCACAAAAUGUUAUGGUAUGCAUCAGUCAAUACUUGAUGUGUGCAUCACUUAUGCAGAGGCCA